rnacentral:rRNA from 1 species
UACGUAGGGGGCAAGCGUUAUCCGGAUUUACUGGGUGUAAAGGGAGCGUAGACGGUCAUGCAAGUCUGAUGUGAAAACCCGCGGCUCAACUGCGGGAUUACAUUGGAAACUGCGUAACUGGAGUACUGGAGGGGCAGGCGGAAUUCCUGGUGUAGCGGUGAAAUGCGUAGAUAUCAGGAGGAACACCGGUGGCGAAGGCGGCCUGCUGGACAGAAACUGACGUUGAGGCUCGAAAGCGUGGGGAG